rnacentral:rRNA from 1 species
CCUACGGGGGGCUGCAGUGGGGAAUAUUGGACAAUGGGGGCAACCCUGAUCCAGCCAUGCCGCGUGUGUGAAGAAGGCCCUCGGGUUGUAAAGCACUUUCAGUGAGGAAGAACGCCUGGUGGUUAAUACCCAUCAGGAAAGACAUCACUCACAGAAGAAGCACCGGCUAACUCCGUGCCAGCAGCCGCGGUAAUACGGAGGGUGCGAGCGUUAAUCGGAAUUACUGGGCGUAAAGCGCGCGUAGGUGGCUUGAUAAGCCGGUUGUGAAAGUCCCGGGCUCAACCUGGGAACGGCAUCCGGAACUGUCAAGCUAGAGUGCAGGAGAGGAAGGUAGAAUUCCCGGUGUAGCGGUGAAAUGCGUAGAGAUCGGGAGGAAUACCAGUGGCGAAGGCGGCCUUCUGGACUGACACUGACACUGAGGUGCGAAAGCGUGGGUAGCAAACAGGAUUAGAUACCCUAGUAGUC